UGCCCCAGAAUGAAAAAGAGGAUCUCAGUUAUUAAGCAACAAAUUGUACAUCUGAAAUGAGCACAAGGCUGAUUACAGCCAUCAUAGGCAUCAUUCCCUUGAUGAGCUUUGCUUUUCUACAUUGUGAUACAAAUUCAUGAGAUGACUAUGAUCGUCAGACCACAGAUCCUAUGGAAAACCAUUUUCCUUUUUUGGAUGAAUUUUGUCACAGCAGGACUGAACUAUUUAAGUAGGACUGAACAAUCCAUUAGAAAUGAUCCUACAAAAACUUGCAUAUAUGCUGAACCUGAGGUAAUGUGAAUAGUUCUAUUGACUACAGUGGAACUACACAGGAUCUCUACAAUUGAGAUCUCUACAGGAUUGGGGGUUUACUUAGCAUACAAAAGAAAAUAUUAAAUUCUUAUUGAAAACUUUUGGUUUGACUUUCAGUAGAAUUGAAAUUGAUAUGAGAGGAGUCAGCAGUUACACUGCUGAAAGUAAAAGAAGAAUUGGGCCCUGUAUGUAUGUUUUAAAUCUUAAAUAUCUUGUUACUAGCCAGAAACUUUUAUUAUGUAAAAGCAAAUUCUUUUCCCACCACAUGUAAUCUGAAAUAGUUUAAUGAAAGUCUAAGUUUAAAAAAGCUAUUUUUAUUUUCAGGAAGUUACAGUUUAUAUGGUUUAAAAGUAUGAAUGCAUGAAAGAGCCCUGGGGUAACUAAGUCCAUAUCUGGAAACACAGUGGCUGAUUUUUCAUGCCAAUUACUGAUGUAGCAAAGCUGGCUUGGAAAAGUCAAAACUAAUCAUACACAUGCCUAAAACUUUCCAAGAGUUAAAUUUGUCUUAGUGGGCUACACACUAGUAUCUUUUCCUAAUUAUUUUGGCUUCAUCCUCAUUCUUUGAGUUAAUUAUUAAAUAAACAUUGCUAUUAUACCAAAGGACAAAUCAAGUCAAGUCAGUCCCAAGGCUCCACUGACUGUUGAGGCACCUUUGAUGUAGCAAUAACUUCCCUUCAUUCUUCCUGGUCUUUUGCAAUCCAUGUAUAAUCAGUCAGUUUUAAUCCCAUCCAGUCUUUGAUACUGGUGGUCCAUCUUGUCUUAGGUCUUCCCCUUCUUUUUUGUUUAUCUGCAGCACUUUGCAGGAUGAGUUGGUAAGGGUGCUGGGCAUUCUUGUUGCCUGUCCAA